GAAGCAGCUUCAUCUGACCAUUUUCCAGGUCUAGGCAGAAAGUCUAAAAAGGCAUACAGCUACUAGCAGGGACAUAAUUGAAUAAUACAAAAAAUUAAUGGAGCACCAAUCAAGAAACUUGUAAUCACUAAAAUGCCCCUCAAUGAAUAGUUAGUUUUAAAAUCAUCCUGUUCCUCAUUUUUUCCAUUUCCAAGACUGCCAUUAGCAACCAAUCUUUCUUCUUCCAGAAACAAUGCAAAAACUCCUCCCACGUCCACUCUCAGCCCCACCGAAACGCUCCUUCUCUUGUUUCUUCUCCCACUCUCCCUCCAAAACCACUUACGACCCUCCAUUUUCCCCUACUUCCAAACCCCCUAAACCCCCAAAACCGAAACCAAAGCCACCUGAUCCUACCACCGACCGAAACCCGUCUCCUCCUCUCAAGUCAAACCUCCCAUUUGACUUCAGGCACUCGUACUCCGAAACCGACCCCAGCCUUGAGCCCAUUGGGUUCCGAGAACCCAAAAGGUUUUCUCCAUUUGGGCCAGGCAGGCUUGACAGGGAAUGGACUGGGACUUCCGCUCCGGCCCGGGAUGAAGUAGAUGGUUGUCGGGUCGAGGAGGAGAGGACGAGGGUACUGGGGGAGCCACUCACGGAGGAGGAAGUUGAGCGGCUGGUUGAAAAGUAUCGGCAUAGCAAUUGUUAUAGGCAAAUCAAUCUGGGGAAGAAUGGAGUCACUCACAACAUGUUGGAUGACGUUCACAAUCAUUGGAAGAGGGCUGAAGCUGUAAGGAUCAAGUGUUUGGGGGUGCCAACUCUUGACAUGGACAAUGUCUGCUUCCACCUUGAGGAUAAAUCUGGGGGAAAGAUCAUCUACCGCCACAUAAAUGUCCUCCUUCUGUAUCGUGGUCGAAACUAUGACCCCAAGAACCGACCAGUCAUACCUGUUAUGCUGUGGAAGCCUUAUGCUCCUAUAUAUCCGAAGCUUGUGAAGAAUGUUGCUGAUGGCCUGACAUUUGAAGAAACCAAGGAACUGAGAAACAGAGGACUGCACUCUCCUGCUAUUAUGAAACUUAGUAACAAGGAAUGGACUGUAUGUAAAUGUAGUGGCAAGAGUCAGGGAGGCCUUCCAGACUGAAGAGGUAGUUAGACUAGACUGCACCCAUGUUGGUACCAGUGACUGCAAAAGGAUAGGUGUGAAGCUAAGGGACUUGGUUCCCUGUGUACCUAUUUUAUUCAAGGAUGAACAGAUUAUACUCUGGAGAGGAAAGAGAGAUCAGGAACUGAACUCUGACAUUUCGGAUGCCAAUGUGAAAUCUCUGGAUACUUAGUUGAGGUUGCAAUGUAGGCAAGACAAGAUCAUUGCUACUUGUAAAUCUCUAGCUCAUUAGCUUUUCCAAUGCUUCCAAUCCUUGUUUAUUCAAGACAGUUCCCUCUCAGCCGCAUUAAAAUAUAAAAA